AAACAACUAAACACUACCAUGUGUUCUCUAGUUAUGCUGUCAUUGGACCGGUUACUCUUGUUUGUACAAUUGGAAGCCCAUAAAUGAUUAUGGGUUAUGACUGUUAUCCUGACUAUCAUGACUGCGAGACUGAUGAAAUCAUGGAUCCAAGUGAUUUGUGAUGUGAUAUAGAUGGAGUACUUGGAGAUGUUUCAGGAGCUCAUGUAAGAGAACGGCCAACUGAGAGUUUGAUUUGAUUUUAAAGUUUUUAAAGUUUAAUAUGUAAUUUUGGAUUACUAUUUUUUUUUUAAAUUGUGUUCAUCGAUUCUAUUUUUAUGAAUGUUGUUUUAGUAAUUAAUGAAAAGUUUAUUUUCAA